AACGAACGCUGGCGGCGUGCCUAAUACAUGCAAGUCGAACGAGAAGGCCCUUCGGGGUGAGUAGAGUGGCGCACGGGAGAGUAAUGGAUAGGAACGUACCUUUAAGUGGGGAAUAACCACUGGAAACGGUGGCUAAUACCGCAUGUGGUCUUCGGACUAAAGCAGGCUUCGGCUCGCGCUUAAAGAUCGGCCUAUCUCCCAUUAGCUUGAUGGUGGGGUAACGGCCUACCAUGGCUACGAUGGGUAGCUGGUCUGAGAGGAUGAUCAGCCUCACUGGGACUGAGACACGGCCCAG
rnacentral:rRNA from 1 species